GCCAGCGUGGUGCAGUGGUUUGGGUGUUGGAUUUAGACUCUGGAGACUAGGGUUCAAAUCUCUGCUCAGCCA